GACCAACUAAGUUGGUUCUGGGUAUAAGCUUUCUUCAUGCAUGCACACGAAAGCUUAUACCCAGAACAAACUUAGUUGGUU